rnacentral:lncRNA from 1 species
AAGAAACUUUAGAAUUCUACAGGCUGAAAGUUCAUGCAUAACAGAGGAAGUUAAUAAUGAAAAUGCAGUUAUUUUUCUCAAGGCCAAGGAGGGGGACGAUGAGGGGGACAGAUGGGAGGAAGCACUUUGAAUAGGGGAAAUGGAAGCUUCCACCCCAGAGGGAAGGUUUUAACCUCUCCCGAGACUGCGGAGAACAGAUCAUGGCAUGGCAGAGACUGGUGGCAUGGCCACCACUCUAGAUAAGGGACAGCAGUGGGAUAUCAGGUCAGUAGGGAAGUUUCUAUGAGGGUCAUCUCAGAGCCAGCUUAGAGCAGCAGCUUUAAAGAGCCAGAUGGCUAGGACUGGCAGGUGACAACAACAUCAUAUGGUUAUAGAAGCAAUUUUUAAAAUGACAGCCUCCAUAGUUUGAGACUUCAGCCUCCUUCAUAUUUAAAUCUUUGUAUGUAGACAGAGAGCUCCAAAAUAACUCAUAGAAAUUCCUAUAUUUCCUGGUGAGAACUCUGAGGCAAUUAAACAUCAUCUAGAGAAAAGGGAACCACGAUAUCUCUUGCAUCUUCCGUUUGUGAACUAAACUUCAUCCCUCCUACAUAUAUUUAUACAUAUACAGUUUCCCCGUUAUCUAAAAGCAGAGCGUUCCUAUGAAACCUUUCGUAAACCAAGAUGGCGUCACGCGAAGAAGCAGUUACCGUUAAUUUACAGAGGAAGCAUUUUUGAGCAUUCCAGGACCCAAAAAAUAAUCUACCACAUCACACCAAAUAACACGUAAACCUAAACUCCCACUAGCACAGUGAAAACAGGAACCAUAUGAUGACUACACAGCCUACAUAAAGCAGAAACUACGUACUCUGCGGUUCACUUCCCAGAACCCGGAGGACAGCGAGUCUGCCUGCCUCCAUGUCGAGGGUCGGGAUUCACUGGCUGCUCUGGCUGCUGUGGUUGAUGUGGAAGGCUUGAGAGAGGACAUGAUGCUUGACUGCUUAGCCUCCAUAAUGGCUUGCUGCCAAACACUCAACGUACUUUCAAAAAGCAAAUCAUCUUUGGAUUUAUUUCGGUUAUGGAAAACAGAUGCCUGCCUUCCUCCCGUGGACACCACUGCUGGGGCUGUGUGCUUAGCUGAAUUUACAGGAAUGGACAUGGGGGAGCAGCAGAAUGCAAAGGACCAUCACUGGAUCCUGAAAAAGCUCAGUAGCUGAGUCCAGGAAAUGGAUGUACUCUUUCUCCACCAUCUCUUCAAUCACACUCAUGAAUAGGACAGCUUUUGCUCCCUUUGGAAUCAUCUACUCAGGAUCAAAAAUUCCAGUUUGGGAAGUUUUUUUGGUUUUGUUUUGUUUGUUUUGUUUUUGAGGUAAGUCUAGACUCACAUGCAGUUGUGAGAGAUAACAGAAAGAUCCCACGUAUCCUUCAUCCAGUUUCCCCCAGUGGUAACAUCUUGAAUGCCUAUAAUACAAUAUCUCAAUGAGGAAACUGGCCUUGAUAUAAUCCACUGACCUAUUCAGGUUUGCAGGCAUUCAUAUGAGUUUGUGUGUGUGUUUAGUUCUAUGCAAUUUUAUCACAUGUAAAUCUUUGUUAUCAUCACCACAGGCAAGAUGAAGAAUAGCUUCAUCACUGCAAGGAUCCAUCCUGCUACCCUCUUACAGCCACAUCCACUUGCCUUCUCCCUUCCCCACCCAGAAUCUCUGGGAACCACCAAGCUGUUCUUCUCUACAAUUCCGUCAUUUCAUGAAUGUUAUCUAAAUAGAAUCAUAUGAUGUGUAAUCCCCUGCAAUUAGCUUUGUUUUUUCAGUCAGCAGUAAUUCCCUUGAAAUUCAUUAAAGUUAUUAUGGUAUCAGCAGUCUAUUCAUUUUUAUUGCUGAAGAGAAUUCCAUGGUUUAGAUGUCCCACUGUUUGUUUACCCAUUCACAUGUUGAAG